AGAGACAGCUCCUUGAUUUCUGAUUCUGUCACUCCUCUUCCGUACCACCACUGGGGGAAAUAACACCCAGCGGUAAGACAGACCCAUGCUCAAAAUACAGACAUCAGGUGAUACCUGGAAUCCACUGAAGUCACUGGCAGAAGUCCUAUGGUCUUCAGAAGAACCAGAAGAUCAUACUUCGUACAGAUGCAAACCUGGUAACCAAGUUACACCACCAGACCCCCUCAGUCUGUCCAUGCAAAGGAUCACUGGGCUGCACAACACAGGAAGGAGGACUUCAAGGUGGAAGACAUGCUCCUGCGUCCCACCGCACACUGGGAGGUGCCCUAGCUUUCGACUGAUGAUGAAGAAGCGUUAUUAACUAUGCUGUCCUCGGUGGGACUUUAAAAGAAUUGAACUCUAAUAUAUAUAAUUCUGUUUCAGUUAAAUACAGUAUUCUUCUUGCACCUAAUAAACUUUCAUCCCAAGAGGGCUUCACCUGCACAUUAGGUAAAGAUACCUGAAUGUUCUGCAUGCUGGCCUGUAAUAGCCCCAUGAUUUACAAAGCUAUAUGAUAUAGAGAGUUGAAAUAUUAAAAGCAUUUCCAUGGAGAAUCUGUAUGAAACCUCCAAGACCACUUGAAAUUUAAACACUGUGUAAAAGGCACAAGAGGAACAAAAGUGAUGUCAAUCCCCUGUGCAGGAUUUAUUUCAUUCUGGUAAAGUAAAUGUUACAGGCUAUACUUGGUUAUAAAAACCAACCAGGGAAUGAAGUAAAAACAGUGCAACACACGUAAUAUAAUUCACUAGGAUUCAGAAUGUAAAUGCCUUCAUUCACAAUUAGCAGCACCUUAAUGCCAUGCGUGAUGAGUCCUUCUUACAACAGAAAGUUAUUAAAUGUGAAGAUACAACAAGUUAGCCCUAAAUCGUUAAACUAUUUAAUAUGGGCGAAAGUCAUUGCUUUGGUAAAUCUACAGAAGAGCAAUAACCAUCUACUUGAGAAAGGGACCCUACAAAAAUAAAUGACAGCAACAAA